GACAGAGGCCUCGAGCGUUAGGCGGAAUCACUGGGCUUAAAGCGCGUGUAGGCGGAUCGUUAAGUGCCUUGUGAAAUCCUGCGGCUCAACCGCAGAACCGCUGGGCAUACUGGCGGUCUUGGGCCACUCAGGGGUCACUGGAACAAGCGGUGGAGCGGUGAAAUGCGUAGAUAUCGCUUGGAACGCCAAAGGUGAAGACAGGUGACUGGGGGUGUGCCGACGCUGAGACGCGAAAGCCAGGGGAGCAAACGGG
rnacentral:rRNA from 2 species